GCGCUGUGGAACCGCCUCCUGCUAGAGCAGCGGGCUGGCGACGGUCCUCGCCGGGGCGGGAAGCGGCUCAGGCUGCCCUCGCUGGCCUGCGGCGGCGCGGCUGGAAGCGCGGGCCACUCGUGCGUGGGUCACUCAGGACUGCGCCUCGCGCGACUGUGUGUGCAGGAAACAAGCAGGAAAUACCCUAAAAGAGAAUGAAGCGCCAUGUUGAGGGUCGCGGACGUCGCGAGUGCUGUGGGAAUGUGGGCUGAGGUGGAGAGUUAUGGUAGCCCGUGUUACAGGCUCAGGGGUCUGAAAGAAGCCUAAUCGUGGAGGCGGCAUCUGAGGAGGGUCUUGAAGGCUGGGCAGGCAUUUGCCCGACAGAGAUGGAGGAAGCUAGUCCUGUCUGAUGGAGGAAACAGGGCGGAGGCGUGGAGGGAGCCGUGCAGCGCUGGUGUGAGGAGCAGCGAGCAGGCCAGGCCUGUAAAGCAGAGUGAGGGAACCAGGAUAGAGAAGGCUGUACAGGAAGCAUGGUGAUGGCAUCUGCAUGGCGCCUGUGGAGGCCCCAGGGAGCUUUUACUCAUGAUGGAAGGCACAGAGGGAGUAGGCACAUCACAUGGUCCGAGGAGGAGCAAGAGAAAAUGGGAGUGGGGGGUGUCAAUGUGCUGAUAUUCCAAUCUUGCAGAAAUCGACUGGAUUUAGUGGAAUUAAAGUCAACUGGAAGACGAUCUGUGGGGAUAAUUCCAUGAUUCAAAGCCUUCAGGGAAAACGUGUUUGCUCAGCUGCAGUGAUUGAAAAAUUGAAGGCAAUGAGAGUCAUAUGUUAUGCUUGGUUAUGUCCUGCUCUGAUGCCAGUUUGGAGUAAAGGCUGAACUUUGCUGUUGAAAGCCACUGUGGAAAGUGGAAACAUUGACUGUGCGUUGCUGAGGGGAGGAAUGUAUUUACUUACCCAGAAAUAGACGCAUCCUUGUCUCAGUGGGCUGGGAGAUAGUAUCAAUCCUUUCUGUUGCAACAGAUCCCACUGCCUUCUUUUUUCAAAAGAGUAAAUAUUUAAAUAGGUAAUACAGAAAAGUUAUUGCCAUUUUUCCUUCAUCAGCCAUGGCUGGGAGUCAAAAGAG
rnacentral:lncRNA from 10 species